UUUUCUUUCUGUUUACUAUGGGCACGCAUUUCACCAACGGGGGCAGUAUUCUGCCCUAGCCUUUUAAGCAUUAGAGGAAUCCUGUAUGAUAAAAUUGUUGUUUAUUUUACAGUCUUGUUAUUAAGCAUCCAUCCAGAGAGCACCCCAGGAGAUAAGACUGAGUAACUCUGACAGCUUACCAACAACGUUCCAGCUCCGACAUCUGGAGCCCCAGGCCUGUGUUGCCUGUCUGCACUGAAGCCUGUGGCUGAAGUACCUUCCACACACCCUUUUUACAACCUCUGGACAUUAAUAACAAGGGGGAAAUGCUGCCGUGCAAUCCUGGAGAAAGGUAUUUGCUGAAGGACAGGACGGCUAGUAAAGAAUGUCUAGUGAUUGACCUUACUUCGCCAUCUGGUGCAAAGCCUCCACUGUAUUUUUUUAAUUUAUUUUACAUUUAUUUAACUAGGCAAGUCAGUUAAGAACAAAUUCUUAUUUUCAAUGACUGCCUAGGAACAGUGGGUUAACUGCCUGUUCAGGGGCAGAACGACAGAUUUUUACCUUGUCAGCUCGGAGAUUCGAUCUUACCAGUCCAACGCUCUAACCACUAGGCUACCUGCCUGACAUUAAUCUCCAAAGGCUUGAACCUUGUUGGUGAGUGGUUUUUAAAUUGAAUACAUCUUCAUCACCGCUAAGAAUAAUAUAGCUGGCAUUAUACUGAAUAUAAUGCACCUGCUUCAUCACAUCCUAAGGGACAUCUUUUAGCACGCCAACAUCCGUUUAUCUGGAGGGUUUGGCGUGUGGCCGUGGCCAGGACAGUGCCUUCAAAAAGUGAUUGGCUGAGAAACACUUUUUUACACCCCUCCUCCCCUUCCCCUGCUCACGCUUGCUUUUGAAUGAUGUGUUUAUAUGCACCUCUGAAAGUGAAAAGAGCCUGUCCUCCCUCCAUCAUCACUGAGAAAAGAUUCCUUAGGGACUCUGGCCCUUUUUAAACCAAUCCAGCAGCAUUAUUACAUAAGUAGCAAAAGCACUAAACUGGCACAUUCAAGAGUCAUUCCUCUCCUUAUUAAUCACCCCCCUAAUUCCAAUCACAUGAAAUGGGGGCUUAAACCGGGGGUGAGUUAGUUUGACAAAACGGGUAGUUGGUUUGAGAGCCAAACUUGCAUAAAGCUCACUUACCAAGCAAGGAUAUUUCUCUGGUUCAUUUAACGACAAUGGUACAUUUUGUGGCUCCAGUCCGUGGCCAGUCUGUGGAUAACGUCUGGGGACGAUCAGCUCAGAGUUCUCUCACAAUGAUCAAGCAGUUUAAACUAAGUUGUCAUAUAAAUUGACCAGAUUCUGCAGGACUGCUUAUAGUACGGCGCAAGCUCCUGAAAUGCCUCACUAUAUAAAACAUUGUCAAUCAACACUGAAUAGGCCGUCAUAAUCAUCCACCAAUAAUCCGAUAACACAUCUUAGAGUGGCAAGCAAACACUUGAAGAGGUUGACCUAUAGGACCUCAUUCGGAUGAAAGGAAUACCAGUCGUUAUAAAACCAUCUUAGAAAACGUUGGAGAAAAUAGAAGGUUGCUGUCAAUUUGUUUUAACCCUAGUUUCAGGGAUGUGGUGAAAUGUGGUACCUGAGAACCAAAAAUCGAUCCAACCUCUGUUUGUUUAUAAACUGACUAGGGAUAUAACACUUUUGCAGGUAUAAGACAGUAGUUAUGGACUGGUAUUGUUCACAAAAACUAAAACUCCUUGCUCCUAAAGUCAUAUUAUGUCUGUGCCUUGCUCUACAUAAUAAUCCAGGAUACAUGACAGACUGGUGAAGGAUAUUAUCCGUGCAAUGUGAAACGGUCUAUAUCCAGCCCAGUAAGCAUGACCCUGGAUGAUGGAGGUAUUUUGGUAGCCUGUUUGUGCUCUUGAAGCUCAUGGGGCUUACAGCAAUCAAGGCUUGGAUCACAUCCAUCUCAGCCACAGAUAUGAUGCAAUGUCAUGGAUUGUUGCAAUGGACACUUUCCAUUCCUUUUUUCACAGGUUAUCCACUGUUUAUUCACCUACCCCUUUUAAUGGCUUGGAUAACCUUUACACAGUUAUUUUCAUUCAUCAAUGGUAAUAUGUCAGCUGUGAAAGGGUAUUAUAACAACACGUUUUUCACCCCCGAGUGUGAUGUGGAAUAUUUAGCUUAUUGAAAAGACUACUGUUUCUUUUAGCACUCUUCACGUAACAUUAAUGUAGAAUCUAUACAGGUACUUAUUGUAUACUGUAUAAUCUUUUUAUUACACCUUGUAUGCUUACCAUAUUCAUCCUUUAAAUAAUGGUUACACAGGGCUUUAUUGCAUUUUAAUGUCACAUUGUUAAUGUUUGAUUGUUCAACAGUAUAAUAAAGGGUCGUUCCCCCAUCAGAAAUAUCCCAUAUUUUGUAUAUUUCUGUCUUUCCACUCUUGCUUGGACUGUACUGCAGUAAUUAAAUGGUAUAUUUGACAGA